AGGACGAACGCUGGCGGCGUGCUUAACACAUGCAAGUCGAGCGGAAAGGCCCUUCGGGGUACUCGAGCGGCGAACGGGUGAGUAACACGUGGGCAACCUGCCCCUCGCUCUGGGAUAACUCCGGGAAACCGGGGCUAAUACCGGAUAUGACCCUUUUAGGCAUCUUUGAGGGUGGAAAGUUUUUCGGCGAGGGAUGGGCCCGCGGCCUAUCAGCUUGUUGGUGGGGUGAUGGCCUACCAAGGCAAGUGACGGGUAG
rnacentral:rRNA from 1 species